rnacentral:rRNA from 1 species
UUCCUACGGGCGGCAGCAGUAGGGAAUAUUGCGCAAUGGGCGAAAGCCUGACGCAGCCAUGCCGCGUGGAUGAUGAAGGCCUUCGGGUCGUAAAGUCCUUUUCUGAGGGAAGAACUGCCGGGGGAGGAAAUGCCCUUGGCUUGACGGUACCUCAGGAAUAAGCAACGGCUAACUCCGUGCCAGCAGCCGCGGUAAUACGGAGGUUGCAAGCGUUGUUCGGAAUGACUGGGCGUAAAGGGAGCGCAGGCGGCCAAGUCAGUCUGAAGUGAAAGCCCGGGGCUUAACCCCGGAAUAGCUUUGGAUACUGCCGGGCUUGAGUGUGCGAUAGGAAAGCGGAAUUCCAGGUGUAGCGGUGAAAUGCGUAGAUAUCUGGAGGAACACCGGUGGCGAAAGCGGCUUUCUGGCGCAUAACUGACGCUGAGGCUCGAAAGCGUGGGGAGCGAACGGGAUUAGAUACCCGAGUAGUC